AAAAUCAAAUUCAAGUUAUCCGAUAUUCCAGAAGGCAAGAAUAUGGCUUUCAAAGAUAGAGGCAAACUCCUGUUUGUGGGCCACAGAACCAAAAAGGAAACUAACUAGGAAGCUGCAGUUGAAAGGUCCCAUUUGAGGGAUCCACAGCAUGAUUUAGAACAAGUAAAGAAACCCCAUUUUCUUUAUGCAGGUUAUCCUGAUAAGUGUUUGCAUUCGCCUUGGUUAUGUACUCACUGCAUUUGCAGGAGAUUCUGGUAAUUAUUACUGCCCUUGCCAUGGGUCACACUAUGAUGCUUUUGGCAGGAUUAGGAAGGGGCCUGCACCUCCCAACCUUGAAGUUCCUUCAUAUGAGUUCACCAGUGUUGAUAUAGUCAUUGUUGGUUAG
rnacentral:lncRNA from 1 species